UCCACUCCUUCCUCCACUCUAGCCACUCACUCCCCUUCUUAUUCCCACGAGCUGCUGCUCCCCCUUGCUCACAUGGCCGGCCAUGGCCAUGAAACCGGCCAAGAUGCUGCUCCCCUCCUCCCUCAAGCUUCCCCUCACCAUGAGAGCAUCUCCCUCACUCUCUUCUCCCCUAAUCUUUGAUGAGUCCAGCUCACUUUCUCCUUUCUCCUCUCACAAGAUUGGAUCUUGAUGCAGGUGCAUAUUGGUCCAAGCAUGGAGAAGUUUGAGCUAUCCUCAGAUCUGAAGUUCUUGAGCAAAAUCCAAAUCGAGUGGUUCAAAGUUCCACAGAUAGGUAUUGAAAAGAUCUACAACUUGGUGUUGGUCUCAUCCUCAAAUUCUUUACGGAUUUUUCAUGAUGCGAACAAUUCCGGAGAAGAAGAAGAAGAAGUGGAAUCGGACGAGGAUAUUAUUUAUAUUAUUGGAAUUCUUAUAUUGAUGGAGUUGAAGAAGUACAGGGACAAAUAAG